GACGAACGCUGGCGGCGUGCUUAACACAUGCAAGUCGAACGGAAAGGCCCUGCUUUUGUGGGGUGCUCGAGUGGCGAACGGGUGAGUAACACGUGAGUAACCUGCCCUUGACUUUGGUAUAACUUCAGGAAACUGGGGCUAAUACCGGAUAGGAGCUCCUGCUGCAUGGUGGGGGUUGGAAAGUUUCGGCGGUUGGGGAUGGACUCGCGGCUUAUCAGCUUGUUGGUGGGGUAGUGGCUUACCAAGGCUUUGACGGGUAGCCGGCCUGAGAGGGUGACCGGCCACAUGAGGACUGAGAUACGGACCAGACUCCUACGGGAGGCAGCAGUGGGGAAUAUUGCACAAUGGGCGGAAGCCUGAUGCAGCAACGCCGCGUGCGGGAUGACGGCCUUCGGGUUGUAAACCGCUUUCGCCUGUGACGAAGCGUGAGUGACGGUAAUGGGUAAAGAAGCACCGGCUAACUACGUG
rnacentral:rRNA from 1 species